rnacentral:tRNA from 1 species
GCCGACUUAAUUUAAUGGCAGAAUAGCUGCCCUGUAAGCAGCGAGUUUCGGUUCGAGUCCGAAAGUCGGCU